AUUGUUUAACAAAGAACAAAAGAUAAUUGUCUAACCCUAGCAAUAGGUUGUUAAGAGUGGUAGCAAAAGAAACUAUAACCCGAAUGCAGCAAUUUAGAUAAAAGAUAUUUGGGAAGUGACGGAGUUAUUUAGUGGAGAAGAAACAAUCAAAGGAUGCAAGGAAAUAACUAGAUUUACAGGGGCUUUCAUACUAGGAACUUGUCCUUUUAAUUAUGCACAAAAGGACAUCAUUCCUUUCUGGACUAAGGAAUUAGAUAGCUGAAAGUUUCAGUUUGUAAAAUUUUACUUGUCCAAUACCAUUUCGUCUGGCCUUCUGAACAUAGGCCUAACCAAGACCUUAAAAGAUCAGAAUGGGAGAAUACUAAAUAGAAGGGAAGAAGAAGAAUAGAGGCAGAGAGGAGAAAUAGAAGCAGAAGAAGAACAGAAGAGAGGAAGAAGUUUCGAGAACAAGAGAGAGAGAAUUAGAAUUAGUGAGAGAGAAAAGAUUCUUGUAUUAUUCCUUCAAUGAAUUUUACAGUACAGUUAUACAGAGUAUUUAUACUCUUUAUUCCUCAAUACAAGUGACCAAACAUCUUAUUCUGUUACAAUCAACCAUUUCUCUAACUAAUACAACUGUUCCCUCCAAAAGUUGCCAACUCAGCAGCUCAAUCACUCAGCUCAUAUUCCCAACACAUUUUAAGCUUUAAAUUUGUGUUAUUCUGCUUGGAUGCGUUGGAUAUGGUGCAUUUUGUAUAUUGCCAACUAAACUGGUAUUGUACUCUUCUUACAUGUGUGAUGUUGUUGCUUUUUACAUGCAUGAUUGCCUGGUAUAGUUAAUUACAUCUAUUGCUAACUCUAGCAAUCCAUUUCUGGCUUGCAGUCUUUCCUGGGUGCAAAAGUG
rnacentral:misc_RNA from 1 species